CACCAGCAAAAUAACCAGCCAAGCAGGAAGGCUGAUGGAAAGCCAGUCAUUUGUGGGAUCUUCUGGAAAUGAGCGUUUGGUGUUUUAAAAGUCAUUCAUGUCGCAAAGGUCAUAACCCAUGAAGAAAUGGAAACUCAGAGCUGGAAGAAAGCAGGGUUUGGAAGAAUGCACAACAAUGGAGAAGAUUAAUAGAUCUAGACUCUCAUGGCA